rnacentral:rRNA from 1 species
GACGAACGCUGGCGGCGUGCUUAACACAUGCAAGUCGAACGGAAAGGCCCUGCUUUUGUUGUGUGCUCGGGUGGCGAACGGGUGGGUAACACGAGAGUAACCUGCCCUAUACUUUGGGAUAACUUCAGUAAACUGGGGCUAAUACCGGAUAGGAGCUCCUGGUGCAUGGUGGGGGUUGGGAAGUUGCGGCGGUUGGGGUUGGAGUCGGGGCUGAGCAGGUUGCUGGUGGGGUAGUGGCUUGCCCAGGCUUUGACGGGUAGCCGGCCGGAGAGGUGGGCCGGCCACAUUGGGCCUGAGAUAACGCCCAGACGCCUACGGGAGGCAUCAGUGGUGAAUAUUGCCCAAUGGGCGGAAGCCUGAGGCAGCAACGCCGCGUGCGGGAUGACGGCCUUCUGGUUGUAAACCGCUUUCGCCUGUGACGAAGCGUGAGUGACGGUAAUGGGUAAAGAAGCACCGGCUAACUACGUG